CCAGGUUCCUCCUAAAGGGCAAGGGGUUGUUGCGUUUGGCUGGAGGGCGAGAAGGGAUGAGACUGAACCCACAAGCAAGGCCUUCUGAGCCGAGCGGGGGCUUGGAGUCAAUCGCGAGGGCCCUUGGGGGAUGUUGUGAGACAUGGUCUGAUUUGUCAUUUGAGAAGAUCUCUCUGGCAGCAGCUGUGGGGACUGGAUUGGAGGGGAAGGAGAACCAAGGUUGGGAAAUCGGCGAGGGCGCGAUUGCGGCAGUCUGGGCCAGAGGCGAAGCAGCCGAGGAAGGAGGGGCUGUGGUGUCCGGAGGGUCUGAGGCCGCGGAGAGGAGGGGUCCGCAGGUGACACAGGGGUUUGAAGAUGGGAGAGCAACAGAGCCCUAACAAAUGCCCGCACGUGGUGGAGCGAUGCCCGGCGGAAGCAGGCAGCAUGCUAGCGUGGCGAGAGCAAGGACUUUGGAGCCAGACCCACGAAGGUCUGAUUCUCAGCCCAGCUCCUGCAACCCGUGUGAACUCGGCCAAGUUCCUUAAGCAAGUUGACCCUUCCUUCUUUCUGAGAAAUGAAAAUGAAUCCUUACCUCAUGGGUUUGUUGCGAGGACUGAAUGAGAUAUGAAUAAAUUUAUUAGUCACUUGGCCCUUCGAGACCAGUGAUGGCUAAAGGGGUCCACCUGAUGUGCCAGCUCCAACGCAUCAGUCGUAGCCGUGGGGCGCUGUGCUGAGAAGAAUUCAGACCCCUCGUCCAGGCUUGGAGGUGGUGGGGGCACCUGGGAAGUGGCACUCACCAAACAAUAGCUGCCAGUUUUCAUAUUUCUUUGCUCCUUGGGAAGGGAAGUAGGAUUCCGCCGGGGUCAAAAAGGCCAAGAACCCAGCAGAUUCCUACUUGGCCCGGCCCUGCCCAGGUCCUGAGUCAUCGAGCCACCUCUCCUGGUUCAGCACAGACUUCUUGGCAGUGAGAGUGCCCUGGCCGGCCCUCUCCUUUAAUCAGCGACCUGCCUUAGCCCUUUCUAGGUUGUUCAAGGUCUUCUUUCUCUUAGGACCUUCUCUUGCUCUUUCAAUCCCCAAAUGCCCAGCCUGAUCCUGCCGACACAGACACACCACACACGUCUCUCUCUCUCUCUCUCUCUCACACACACACACACACACACACUCACACACGCACACACACACACACACUCUUUCCCACGUUCACCACCCUCUCCCAGAGUAGGUUAUAGAGAAUUACAUGUAGGAACUUGAAUCUCUCCACUCAAUAUUUAUUGAGCACCUGCUAUGUGCUGCGCAGCAGUGUAAAAAACAGACAUGCUUUCUGCCUUGAAGGGGAGACAGACGUAACCCAGGGGGUCUGGGCAGUGCAGUCAAGUGCCAAGGUGGAGGUGAGCACGGAGGGACCUCUGACGGCGGUGGCAUGGUGGGAUGAUCAGAGAAGGCUCUGCUGAGCUGUUCCAGGUGGCAGUGGGGGCAGUGUAUGCAAAGAUCUGAAGGUGUGUGUUUGAAGAGUCGCUGGUCGCUGGCAGGUCACUGUGGCUGGGCUCAGAGCUGGAAGGGAGGAGGUGCUGGAGAGGGGCCAGCUGGGAGGUGGUGAGGUUUAGGGAGCAGGUCCUACAGGCCCUUGAAAAGGGGUCCAGACUGUCCCGAAGCAGCCCCCACCCUACCCCCAGCCUGUCUUCUCUUUGCUGUGGCAAGUGAGGCCUUGAAGGGAAACAUCUUCCACUGCUCCCCUUCCCAUGAGCUGCAGGGCUUCCCAGGCAGCUGGGGACAAUCCCUGCCCCCAUGCCCCAUAAGUCAUUAGGACAGGAGUGAGAGCUGACUAGGACUAGUGGUGGGUGGGCAGGCAGGUGGCAGAGGCUGAGUGAGGAGGAACUACAGAGUGGGCCCCACCCCGACCUGCUGAAUGAAGGCCUUAAUGGAGUGCCCCUACUAAUUGGCUGGCCCAACCAUCAGGUGCAAUGGAGGGUAAAACAGGUGUGCAGGUAUUUUCUUUUUCCAAUGACUCAGUAGGUUUGCAAUUACCGCUUUCUCUCAUAAACCCCCCUAACCCCUUUUCCCAGCCACCUCCCCACUUAGACUUGCUUCCUUUUGGAAAAUGGGAAAUAGUGUGUCUGUGAAGCAGAGUGUGGCUGUGUGUGUGUGUGUGUGUGUGUGUGUGUAUGUGACAUAUAUAUGUGAGGAAGUGUAUAAAUGGGAGUGUGCACACUUGUGUGUGCAUGAAAAUACUUCUGCUGGUGCCAUGCAUGGGAGCAAAUGUGGGUGAGAGUUGCAUGUCUCUGUGUGGUAAAGUGUGCAUGUGGGGAACACGGAUGCUUGUGUGUGCACAGGUGUGCAGGAGAGCAUGGGUGUUUGUGAGUUUGGGGACUCGAGGCGUGUGUGUGUGUGUGUGUGUUUGCAGUGAGUGUGCAUGUGACUCUGUGACCCCAGCCGACAUGGUCGUCUUCCCAGGAGAGAAGUGGUUGGGCUGGGAUAUUUGUAUUAACCAAAGCAAUAAAACACCCCACUGGUCUGGCUGCCUCCUCUCUUGCUUCUUUGUAAUUCAUUCUUCACCCAGCAGCCAGUGCGAGCUUUUAAAAAUGCAAAUCAGAUUACAUCACUCUUAGGCUGAAAACCCUCCAGUGGCUUCCCAGUGCAUUUGGAAUAAAUCAAACUUCUGACUA